UGGCGCCCGAACAGGGACCUGGAAACGAGGGACUCCGUGAGGAAGAGGACGCCAAAGGACUUUCGACCGUUAAUAAAGACAAAAGGAGUCAAAUUCUUCCGAUCACCGCGGGAACCUGCCGCGUCAGAAUCGAAGGUAAGUGACGCGUCUGAAAUGGGACAAGAAUUAAGCCAACAUCAAAUAUAUGUAGGACAAUUAAAAGAGGCUUUAAAGAUACGAGGAGUAAAGGUUAAAGGUAAUGAUUUGUUUAAAUUUUUUGAUUUUGUAAAAGACACUUGCCCUU
rfam:Macaca mulatta chromosome 14, whole genome shotgun sequence.